rnacentral:rRNA from 1 species
UACGUAGGGUGCGAGCGUUAAUCGGAAUUACUGGGCGUAAAGCGUGCGCAGGCGGUUAUGUAAGACAGAUGUGAAAUCCCCGGGCUCAACCCUGGGAACUGCAUUUGUGACUGCAUAGCUAGAGUACGGUAGAGGGGGAUGGAAUUCCGCGUGUAGCAGUGAAAUGCGUAGAUAUGCGGAGGAACACCGAUGGCGAAGGCAAUCCCCUGGACCUGUACUGACGCUCAUGCA